UACGUAGGGUGCGAAGCGUUGUCCGGAAUUACUGGGCGUAAAGAGCUCGUAGGUGGUUUGUCGCGUUGUUCGUGAAAACUCACAGCUUAACUGUGGGCGUGCGGGCGAUACGGGCAGACUGGAGUACUGCAGGGGAGACUGGAAUUCCUGGUGUAGCGGUGGAAUGCGCAGAUAUCAGGAAGAACACCCGUGGCGAAGGCGGCUCUCUGGGGACGGUACUGACGCUGAGACGCGAAAGCGUGGGGAGCGAACAGG
rnacentral:rRNA from 1 species